rnacentral:rRNA from 1 species
UACAACGGGGUGCGACACGGUGACGUGGGGCGGGAUCCCUGAAAACCGGUCUCAGUUCGGAUCGCAGUCUGCAACUCGACUGCGUGAAGGUGGAGUCGCUAGUAAUCGCGGAUCAGCAACGCCGCGGUGAAUGCGUUCCCGGGCCUUGUACACACCGCCCGUCAAGUCAUGAAAGUGGGCAGCACCCGAAGACGGUGGCCUAACCCUUGUGGGGGGGAGCCGUCUAAGGUGAGGCUCGUGAUUGGGACUAAGUCGUAACAAGGUAUC